UAAUAAUAUCUGUACCUCCCUUUAUAUACAAACAAAUUUUUCACUUCUUGUAUAAACCCAUCUCUUAGUUUCUAGGGUUUCAGUUUCAGAUCAAAAAUAGUGAUUUCAUCGUUACUUCUAUGUAUAUUCAACCUUAAUUGCAUCGUGUAGUUCUAGCCAUUCCAAGAUUUGCAUUUUUUUGUGUUUUGAUACUGGGAUUUGCUAAGAGGAGUCAACAAGUGAAUUGAGUUCAUAUUAUCAUCUGGGUCACUUUCAGAAUUACAGAUUUAUCAUUGUUUGGCUUCAAAUUAUUGUGUGAGUGAAGUUCAAGGUCGCUAUUUUAUUGUGAGUUUGCUAGAUUUAUUUAUUUUGUACUUGAAAUGGACGACGGGGAGCUUGAUUUCUCAAAUCAAGAAGUUUUUCCAAGUACAAACAUGGGUGAGAUUCCAAGCAGUUGCUCAAUGGACAGUUUCUUCGAUGAACUUUUGAAGGAUACUCAUGCUUGCACUCACACACACACUUGCAACCCACCAGGACCUGAUUCCUCUCAUACACAUACUUGUUUUCACGUACAUACUAAAAUCGUUGCUCCUCCUAGUGAAGACAAGACAUCCACUGAUGACACUGCUGAAUCUUCUGAAAAGAAAUCAAAAAAACGUCCCUUGGGUAAUCGUGAAGCUGUUAGAAAGUAUAGGGAGAAAAAAAAGGCACGGGCAGCAUCAUUGGAGGAUGAGGUAGUGAGAUUAAGGGCUGUGAAUCAGCAGUUACUGAAGAGGUUGCAGGGUCAGGCUGCAAUGGAGGCAGAGAUUGCAAGGCUUAAGUGUUUGCUUGUGGACAUUCGGGGCAGGAUUGAAGGGGAAAUUGGAUCCUUUCCUUAUCAGAAAUCAGUCAAUAACAUGAACAUGACUAAUCCUAAUUUGAAUGGUGCAUAUGUGGUGAAUCCAUGUAAUUUGCAGUGUGAUGAUCAGGUUUAUUGCCUUCACCCGGGACUGGAGGGUAAAAGUGGAGAAGGCAUGGCAUUGAAUGGACAAGGCUACAAUGGUUGUGAGUUUGAGAGCCUGCAAUGUCUGGCGAAUCAAAAUUCAGGGAUCAAGGACCUUCCUGUUUGCGGACUUGGGAACAUAACCUCCAAUGUCAAUUCUUCUGGGACAACUAAGAGGAAAGGAGGGGCUCGUGCUGCAGCAACAGAUUAAAGGGCUGAUCAGAUGGCAUUAUCCUCACUCACAAGGGUACAUAUGUCUUACAAUAAGUAGUUUUGUCAACUGCAACAUCAGCUUCCUCAGAAUUUAGGGGAGGUGGGAUGCCUUUUGAGUGAUGUUUUCCGUAGUGUAAGCUGUGAAGAGGUGAGUUAGUUACAAAUUUUACUCUGCCGAGCUUGCCCUCUAAGAAUUUUGCUUACUAGAGGAUGCCUGCAUUUUUAUCUGGAAGGAAGCAUAGAUGCAACUGCCUUGUGAAGUUAGUAACGGUUCUUCUCAUCAUAAUUGGGACACAAAGGGGGAGAAUAAUAUUUUUUGUGUUGCCUUUCCAUUGCUGUCAUUGUUCACCACCAAAAUAAGUGUUUCAGAUGGAAAACUUAUGAAUAGAUCAUGAAUUUGUUUUUGGGAACAUCCCUUUAUUACAUUUCUUACAUAAGUUCUGUUUUCUAGUACU